rnacentral:rRNA from 1 species
UACGGAGGGUGCAAGCGUUAUCCGGAUUCACUGGGUUUAAAGGGUGCGUAGGCGGGCAUUUAAGUCAGUGGUGAAAUACCUGAGCUUAACUUGGGAACUGCCAUUGAUACUAUUUGUCUUGAAUGUCGUGGAGGUUAGCGGAAUAUGUCAUGUAGCGGUGAAAUGCUUAGAUAUGACAUAGAACACCAAUUGCGAAGGCAGCUUACUACAGGGAUAUUGACACUGAGGUACGAAAGCGUGGGGAUCAAACAGG